rnacentral:rRNA from 1 species
UACGGGGGGGGCAAGCGUUGUUCGGAAUUACUGGGCGUAAAGGGCGCGUAGGCGGCCUUCUAAGUCGGACGUGAAAUCCCUCGGCUUAACCUGGGAACUGCGUCGGAUACUGGAUGGCUUGAAUUCGGGAGAGGGAUGCAGAAUUCCAGGUGUAGCGGUGAAAUGCGUAGAUAUCUGGAGGAAUACCGGUGGCGAAGGCGGCAUCCUGGAUCAAUUCUGACGCUGAGGAGCGAAAGCCAGGGGAGCAAACGGG